rnacentral:lncRNA from 1 species
CGACCCCAAUUGAUCGGCCACCAAACGAUUACCCGCAUGUGCCUGUCUUCCUCUCCUUAUGGCCGGAAGUCAGAGGGGUAAUCUUAGAUUUGGUGGGUUUGCUAAACUUAGUCAACCGGCGGCUCAUGCUGCCACAAGAGCCUUCAUCAAACCAUAACACCCGCAGUCAUGCCACUUGGAUGUGGAUGUCCCAAAGACACAAGAUCCUAAUCCAGCUAGAUGCUGAACCAAGCCUUCUACUCCCAACAGCCAAGCCCAGUCAUCUCUAUACCAAGAAGAACCAGACCCCAUUGGGGAGCAGAAUCUUAACAUCGCAAUGAUCAAGAAAACAGUAAGUAGUAAUACUACACAAGCUUAUCAACUG